CACGUAGGGGGCAAGCGUUGUCCGGAUUUAUUGGGCGUAAAGAGCUCGUAGGUGGUUCGAUAAGUCGGGUGUGAAACCUCCAGGCUCAACCUGGAGACGCCACCCGAUACUGUCGUGACUAGAGUCCAGUAGGGGAGCGUGGAAGUUCCUGGUGUAGCGGUGAAAUGCGCAGAUAUCAGGAGGAACACCAGCGGCGAAGGCGGCGCUCUGGGGCUGGCACUGACACUGAGGAGCGAAAGCGUGGGGAGCGAACAGG
rnacentral:rRNA from 1 species